rnacentral:rRNA from 1 species
CUCAGGAUGAACGCUAGCGGCAGGCUUAACACAUGCAAGUCGAGGGGCAUCGGGAGGGAAGCUUGCUUUCCUUGCCGGCGACCGGCGCACGGGUGAGUAACACGUAUGCAACCUGCCCUCUUCAGGGGGACAACCUUCCGAAAGGGAGGCUAAUCCCGCGUAUAUCGGUUUCGGGCAUCCGAGAUCGAGGAAAGAUUCAUCGGAAGAGGAUGGGCAUGCGGCGCAUUAGCUAGACGGCGGGGUAACGGCCCACCGUGGCGACGAUGCGUAGGGGUUCUGAGAGGAAGGUCCCCCACACUGGUACUGAGACACGGACCAGACUCCUACGGGAGGCAGCAGUGAGGAAUAUUGGUCAAUGGGAGAGAUCCUGAACCAGCCAAGCCGCGUGAGGGAAGACGGCCCUAUGGGUUGUAAACCUCUUUUGUCGGAGAACAAAACCCGGGACGUGUCCCGGACUGCGUGUAUCCGAAAAAAAAGCAUCGGCUAACUCCGUGCCAGCAGCCGCGGUAAUACGGAGGAUGCGAGCGUUAUCCGGAUUUAUUGGGUUUAAAGGGUGCGUAGGCGGUCUGUUAAGUCAGCGGUAAAAUUGCGGGGCUCAACCCCGUCGAGCCGUUGAAACUGGCAGACUUGAGUUGGCGAGAAGUACGCGGAAUGCGCGGUGUAGCGGUGAAAAUGCAUAGAUAUCGCGCAGAACUCCGAUUGCGAAGGCAGCGUACCGGCGCCAGACUGACGCUGAGGCACGAAAGCGUGGGGAUCGAACAGGAUUAGAUACCCUGGUAGUCCACGCAGUAAACGAUGAAUGCUGGUUGUCCGGGUCGAAUGAGAUCUGGGCGGCGAAGCGAAAGCGAUAAGCAUUCCACCUGGGGAGUACGCCGGCAACGGUGAAACUCAAAGGAAUUGACGGGGGCCCGCACAAGCGGAGGAACAUGUGGUUUAAUUCGAUGAUACGCGAGGAACCUUACCCGGGCUCAAACGGGAGUGGAAUGGACCAGAGACGGUUCAGCCUACGGGCCGCUUCCGAGGUGCUGCAUGGUUGUCGUCAGCUCGUGCCGUGAGGUGUCGGCUUAAGUGCCAUAACGAGCGCAACCCCCGCCGGCAGUUGCUAACGGGCAAUGCCGAGGACUCUGCCGGGACUGCCGCCGCAAGGCGUGAGGAAGGCGGGGAUGACGUCAAAUCAGCACGGCCCUUACGUCCGGGGCGACACACGUGUUACAAUGGGCGGUACAGCGGGAAGCCAGGCGGCGACGCCGAGCGGAACCCGAAAGCCGUUCUCAGUUCGGAUCGGAGUCUGCAACCCGACUCCGUGAAGCUGGAUUCGCUAGUAAUCGCGCAUCAGCCAUGGCGCGGUGA